CGACGGGUGAGUAAUGCCUAGGAAUCUGCCUAGUGGUGGGGGAUAACGUUCGGAAACGGACGCUAAUACCGCAUACGUCCUACGGGAGAAAGCGGGGGGUCUUCGGACCUCGCGCCAUUAGAUGAGCCUAGGUCGGAUUAGCUAGUUGGUGAGGUAAUGGCUCACCAAGGCGACGAUCCGUAACUGGUCUGAGAGGAUGAUCAGUCACACUGGAACUGAGACACGGUCCAGACUCCUACGGGAGGCAGCAGUGGGGAAUAUUGGACAAUGGGCGAAAGCCUGAUCCAGCCAUGCCGCGUGUGUGAAGAAGGUCUUCGGAUUGUAAAGCACUUUAAGUUGGGAGGAAGGGCCAGUAAGUUAAUACCUUGCUGUUUUGACGUUACCAACAGAAUAAGCACCGGCUAACUUCGUG
rnacentral:rRNA from 1 species